CCUACGGGUGGCUGCAGUCGAGAAUCUUCGGCAAUGGGCGAAAGCCUGACCGAGCGAUGCCGCGUGCGGGAUGAAGGCCCUCGGGUUGUAAACCGCUGUCGUAGGGGAGGCCUAGCCUAGGAGGAAGUACGGGCUAAGUUCGUGCCAGCAGCCGCGGUAACACGAACCGUACGAACGUUAUUCGGAAUUACUGGGCUUAAAGGGUUUGUAGGCGGCCUUAUAAGUCAGGUGUGAAAGCCCUCGGCUCAACCGAGGAAUAGCGCUUGAUACUGUAAGGCUUGAGGGAGACAGGGGUAAGCGGAACUGAUGGUGGAGCGGUGAAAUGCGUUGAUAUCAUCAGGAACACCGGUGGCGAAAGCGGCUUACUGGGUCUCUCUGACGCUGAGGAACGAAAGCUAGGGUAGCGAACGGGAUUAGAUACCCUUGUAGUC
rnacentral:rRNA from 1 species